rnacentral:rRNA from 1 species
GUCGGCAUAGUAUGAGAAACCAAAGUCUUUGGGUUCCGGGGGGAUUAUGGUCGCAAGGCUGGAACUUAAAGAAAUUGACGGAAGGGCACCACCAGGCGUGGAGCCUGCGGCUUAAUUUGACCCAACACGGGGAAACUCACCAGGUCCAGACACAAUAAGGAUUGACAGAUUGAGAGCUCUUUCUUGAUUUUGUGGGUG